rnacentral:rRNA from 1 species
UACAGAGGUCUCAAGCGUUGUUCGGAUUCAUUGGGCGUAAAGGGUGCGUAGGCGGCGGGGUAAGUCGGAUGUGAAAUCCCGGGGCUCAACCCCGGAACUGCAUUCGAUACUGCCUUGCUCGAGUACUGGAGAGGAGACUGGAAUUUACGGUGUAGCAGUGAAAUGCGUAGAUAUACGGAGGAACACCAGCGGCGAAGGCGGGUAGCUGGGCCAACACUGACGCUGAUGCGCGAAAGCCAGGGGAGCAAACGGG